ensembl:lncRNA
AUAAUCAGAUAUAUAUAUAUAUAUAUAUAUAUAUAUAUAUAUCAGUUUAAACUGCAAAGAACAAUCAAAUGGCCUUAUAUAUCUCAGAAACACCUGAGUGUAAAUGUGUUUGUAUUUGUUUUAAGUUCUGCAGCUAUUGAAGUUGAAACUGGCUAAUAAACUGAUUCCUGUGUUUUCAGCUCCUCCAGAUGUUCAUGUCUUUGCAAAAAGGUCUAUCAGAGACAAAACCAAGCUAAAAUUCACCUGUCUGGUCAGUGGCUUCUACCCCAAAGACAUGACACUGGUCAUGAGGAAAUAAUCGCACAUCUCUGUGUGAAAAUGAGGUUGAAUCCACAGGAAUCAGACCAAACCAUGAUGGGACCUUCCAGCUGAGGAAGAGUGUGGAGAUCAAUGAAAAUGAAAAAUCAGAAUAUGAUUGUUUUGUGUCCCACAGAACCUUCAAAGAACCAGUUAUCGUCCAAUGUGAUGGUGUGACGGCAUGAUUGGAGCUAGGGCUGUUUCACACUGGAAGCGUAUGUGAGUGGAAGCAGUGGAAACUGGAUUAGCAUGCUUUUUAAGCUCUACUUUAAAUCAUUUUAAAUCAGCAUGCUUUUGUGUUGUUUGUUUUACACAAGCUACAUUUACAUGCACUGAAAUAAUCAAUAAUCAUAAAUAAUAAUAAUAUUACUCAUGUAGCUCCGUUGACAUUAAUGCGGUGGCUUUCUGAAUAGAUGCACUGUGCAUGCACUGACUUUUUGAUCGGAAUAAAUACAUUGCACAUUUAAUCAAAAAUGUGAAAUAAACUGCAAAGCUUAAAGCUCAUAAGCAGAACCUUCAAAAUCUGAAAUGGGAUUGUAUUUAUUCGGAUUGUCAAAGAGUAGUGCAUGUAAAUAUACUGACAGUGUUAAUCAUGCUUAUUUUUAAUGUUAUUCCAAAAAAAAAGAAAAAAAAAAAAAAAAAAAAAAAAAAAAAAAAAAAAAAAAAAAAAAAAAAAAAAAAAAAAAAAAAAAUCAUUGAAGUAUGUAGCACAUUUCCCCCAAACCUUUAUUGAUUUUUUUUAUUAUUCAAAUAUUAUGAUUGUUAUUACUUCAUUUUAAGUCCUUUUGUAAAUCUUCAUGUCAUUUUAAAUCCAUUUAGACAAAUUAUUAUUCCAGAAAAAAAAAAAAAAAAAAAAAAAAAAAAAAAANCCAUAACAAUGCUGAAUCACUGUCCUCGACCACAAUCAGCUUCAGUUGAGCUGCAGCGACUGCAGACAACGUCCCAAACUUCCAUGUAGUUGACCAUGAGUCUCACACAAGAACUCAAACGCCUCUUGAAAAUAACAUUUAAACUACAUUAGCCUACAGCCUAUGAAGAAAUGUGACUUGAGAAAUGUGUCAAAGAAAUCCCUCUGACGUCGCAUUUCAAAUAUAGUUACCAGAUUUGGUUUGACUCUCUGGAGAGUCAGUCUUGCUGUCUGCUGUUUCAUCAUCACUCUCGUCCUGUUGGAGAAGCAGUGAAAUGUAUAAGUGCAUCUACAGUGCUGCAGGUGAAUGGACCUGUUUACAGAAGUGUUGACAAGGAAAAAAAGCAGCAUGUAUGUGAAACAUGGUGAAAAGCAUGCGUGAGGCUUGUGUGUGAUGAGAUUCACAAUAAGAUCACUUUGGACUUCAGUCACACAAAUGAUGCAUUUACUGAUGUAUGUGUGUCAGUGCAUUAUUAAAAACAAAUGAGAUAUCAGAAUAAGAGGUAUAUUCACCAGAGUCAAAGUUGUAAUGUCCUGCUGUUGUCAUAAUAUCUGUAACAGUGAACAUGAAAGCAAUUCAGCUGAUAAAUCCCCAAGUUAUAAGGUUAAGGGUACCCUUAGUGAAAAUUGGGUUGCAAGAAAAAAAAGCUAAGGUCAGCUUAAGAAACUUAAGCCUGACAUUAAUUAUUCUCCCUUAAAUAUGUAAGUGUUCCCUUAAUGGAGUAGUUCAAUUCCAGAAUUUAAAAAAAAAAAAAAAAAAAAAAAAAAAAAAAACACCUAUUCCAUAUCAUCCAAGAUGUCCAUGGCUUUCUGUCUUUUUCUUAAAAAAAAAAAAACAAACAAACAAACAAACAUUUAUAUACUUUAUAACC